CAUUAAAAAGCAGCUGGAGUUCCACAUUACAAAGAUUCAAGUGCAGCAAAGAUGGGGACUGCCCAUAAGGAUCCAGGAUUCCCUGAGGAGGUUCAUGUCUCCUUCCCCAGAGGAGAGAGGCCGGCUCUCUCACCCUACGUGCGGGGGCAUCGUGACUCCAUACCGGUCACCGUUUCAGGUGCGUUCCAAGGAGGCUCGGUCUAUUCAGUUGCCUCUAAGGGCCCCCAGUCAGAGGUGGCUGGAGGAUGGACAUGCCCUACCCACCGACAGAAGGCAGCAAAUGGCCAGGGCUUACUCCUGGAAGCAUCCUGGGGCAGCAGCUUCGAAAGGGAAAGAAACCCCAGACCAUGGCAGCGCAUCGCAGACAGGGAAGCAAAGCACAAGCUCCUCUUGUUCCACACGUCCUCCAACGCCAGUGGAAGAUACCACCAUGGAGAUGGGCAGGAGUGAGGGCGCGGCAGGAAACCUGGCUAACCCAGAUCACUGCACUCUGCCAGCAGGGGUGGAUCUGACAUCGCCACCUCCAGGAACCGCAAUAACAGAGAAGUCGCUCGCAGCGACACUCCACAUUUAUAGGAGCGAGUUGAGAAAGCCCCUUACCAGUGUGAGCGGCACCGAAGGGACAGAAGAGACGCUAGAGCUGCACAUGGAGAGGAAGGUUAUCUCGGGAGAAGGCUCCUGCCUGAGGCCAGGGGAACAGGCAGGUGAGGGCAGGGCAGAUCUUCCCAGGACCCAAUGCCACCAGGUUGCCCCAGAGGCACCAGGCUCUGGGCAGCUGACAAGAUCCAUCCUUGACUCUCUCAUUGCUGGGCAGGCUGCGCACGACCAGCAGAUCAAGCACCUGAUGGAAAUGUUGAGCAGCUCCCGCCCCUUGGCGGGCCAGGUCUCAGUCUGCCAGCGGUGCCACAAGGCACAGCCAGGAAAGAUGAAGGGUCAGAAAACUCAGGAGGAGACACAAGGAUCUGCUGAGCUGCAUGGUCUUCGAGACAUCACGGCUCCACACGGGUUCGAUGGAACUGUGAAUUCAAAGCUCUCCAGGGACCAGCCACCAGUCAGAGUCUGCAAGAAAUGCAAUAAGGUUCGACAGAAGAGACCUGCUGGCUCUGCAGGUGCUGACUUGCCCAGAAGAUCCCAUGGAAUUCCACAGCGAUGGACUCCAGGAGACUCCUCAGCGUCAUCCAACCACAACAAGAUGCCAGUGGUGUGGCUCCUUCUGGAAGACAGGAGCAAGACGCAGGAUGGAAUGGGGAAAAUGGCCCCCACCAAGCAACCACAGAUGGUGUCCAUUGCUACGAGUACAACAGGGCUUUCGCAAGCCGGGGAGAAAACAACUGAGAGUCCUGACGGUUCUCCUCCAAAGCCAGCAAAGGCUUCCAGAGCUCGGACACCAUCCCCUACAAGGAGCAAAGUUCCAGUUCUCAAACGGAUCUUAAUGUGCCUCAAGAAAACCUUCUCCGAGCUAAAAAACAAAGCGAAGUCCCAAAUGUCCAAGGACUCUCAUUCAAGAAG
ensembl:lncRNA